rnacentral:rRNA from 1 species
AGAAUCAACGCUGGCGGCGUGCCUAACACAUGCAAGUCGAACGAGAAAGGGGAGCAAUCCCUGAGUAAAGUGGCGACCGGGUGAGUAACACGUGACUAACCUACCUUCGAGUGGGGGAUAACCUCGGGAAACCGAGGCUAAUACCGCAUAACAUCGUGAGAUCAAAGCAGUAAUGCGCUGGAAGAGGGGGUCGCGGCUGAUUAGCUAGUUGGCGGGGUAAUGGCCCACCAAGGCGAAGAUCGGUAGCCGGCCUGAGAGGGCGCACGGCCACACUGGAACUGAAACACGGUCCAGACUCCUACGGGAGGCAGCAGUGGGAAUUUUGCGCAAUGGGGGAAACCCUGACGCAGCAACGCCGCGUGGAGGAUGAAGUCCCUUGGGACGUAAACUCCUUUCGACCAAGACGAUAAUGACGGUACUGGUGGAAGAAGCACCGGCUAACUCUGCGCCAGCAGCCGC